CCCUAAUAUUACCUAUUCAUCACCUUAACGAUAAGUACGCAAUAUUAUUCAUUAAACGGCAUUAAAAUUUAUAUUAUGACACUUAUAUUAUUCUUAUGUGUAUUGUUAGAAAAAUAAAUAUUCAUAUAGAAAAAAUAUAUUCUUAGCAAUUAGUCUUAAUGAUUACUCUUUACUAAUAGGCAGAUAUAAUAAAGGGAUAAUUCAAUUGUCAGUGGCACCCAAACUAUAGUUACAGUGUAUCUUUUGCUAAACAUUAAUUUUUCGGUGAAUUGGUAACCCUAGUAAUUGAGAUUUGGGAGCGUGAGGAAAAAGUGUUUUAAAGAAAAACUUUUAAAAAGAUUGGUUUUAAGAUCUUAAAUCUAUAUAAAAUGUAAUUGUNAAAUAUAUUCUUAGCAAUUAGUCUUAAUGAUUACUCUUUACUAAUAGGCAGAUAUAAUAAAGGGAUAAUUCAAUUAUCAGUGGCGCCCAAACUAUAGUUACAGUGUAUCUUUUGCUAAACAUUAUUUUUUCGGUGAAUGGGUAACCCUAGUAAUUGAGAUUUGGAAGCGUGAGGAAAAAGUGUUUUAAAGAAAAACUUUUAAAAAAAUUGGUUUUAAGAUCUUAAAUCUAUACAAAAUGUUUUAUUAGUAAAUAAUAGUUCUUUGUUUUGGAAUUUUGCUACGCCAUAAAAUUAUAGUUUAAGUGCCACUGAUAAAGAUUAUGAACGCCUAUAUUAUAAAUACCUUUGUACACAAAUUACUACCAUUGCUACUUGUCGAAAUUCAAUAUUUCAAUUCGAAAACGACCCUUAAAUUUAAUUUAAAGUUAAUUAACAAAUAAAACAAUGUAUAUGUCUAAAAGACUUAAUAUUAAAUAAUUAUCAUCUUAAAGAUAAUUAUGAUUAAAUAUUCACUUAACCUUAAUNACGUAUUUCACAAAACAUUACAAAAUUAUGUAUCGAAAUUCAAUAUUUCAAUUCGAAAACGACCCUUAAAUUUAAUUUAAAGUUAAUUAACAAAUAAUACAAUGUAUAUGUCUAAAAGACUUAAUAUUAAAUAAUUAUCAUCUUAAAGCUAAUAAAGAUUAAAUAUUCACUUAACCGUAAUACCAAAUAAUAAUGUUACAUUAUUAUUAGCUAAAAGCACGAAUAAUUAUUAUUAUCUAGAUUUAUUUUUUUGGUUUUUUUAUUUUUUAUUUUUUUUUUUUGCGUUCAUAGAGUCCAUUUAGGGUCUUAUGAUCUUUCAAUUUUCGCUAUUUUCAUUGGAUUCCAGGUCCAUUUCAGGCGAAACCUUUGGGAUAUUUGCUCUUAAUAGGUCUGACCUUUUUUGCUUAUGGCCUUUUUUGGAUCUUUAACCGUUGAUUUCAUCAGUCAUCUCUUUAUUUCUCCAUAAGUAUUCUGUCUAUCUUAUUAGUUUGUUAUUUAUAUAUUAUAAUAUAUUUUUUUUAUGAAAUAGCUUGUACAAAUUCUUGUUCGCUCUUUUUCGGUAUUUUCUAUUAAAAUAAUGGGUUGAAAUUCAAUAUUUUCAUUUAAAAACUACAAAUUAUUUGGUUUAAAAAUGAUGAAGAAAUAAACUAAUAUAAAUUUAAAUAAAGGCCUUAAUAUUACCUAUUCAUUAUCUUAACGAUAAGUACGUAAUAUUAUUCAUUAAACUGCAUUAAAAUUUAUAUUAUGACACUUAUAUUAUUCUUAUGUGUAAUGUUAGAAAAAUAAAUAUCCAUAUAGAAAAAAUAUAUUCUUAGCAAUUAGUCUUAAUGAUUACUCUUUACUAAUAGGCAGAUAUAAUAAAGGGAUAAUUCAAUUAUCAGUGGCAUCCAAACUAUAGUUACAGUGUAUCUUUUGCUAAACAUUAAAUUGUCGGUGAAUAGGUAACCCUAGUAAUCGAGAUUCGGGAGCGUUAGGAAAAAGUGUUUUAAUGAAAAACUUUAAAAAAAAUUGGUUUUAAGAUCUUAAAUCUAUAUAAAAUGUAAUUGUGGUAAGUGGUAGUUUUAUAUUAAGAAAUUUGCUACGCCAUAAAAUUAUAGUUUGGGUGCCACUGAUAAAGAUUAUGAACGCCUAAAUUUUAAAAACCUUCUACGUAUUUCACAAAACAUUACAAAAUUAUGUAUCGAAAUUCAAUAUUUCAAUUCGAAAACGACCCUUAAAUUUAAUUUAAAGUUAAUUAACAAAUAAAACAAUGUAUAUGUCAAAAAGACUUAAUAUUAAAUAAUUAUCAUCUUAAAGAUAAUUAUGAUUAAAUAUUCACUUAACCUUAAUACCAAUUAUUAAUGUUACAUUAUUAUUAGCUAAAAGCACUAAUAAUUAUUAUUUACUAGAUUUACUUUUUUGGUUUUUUUAUUUUUUAUUUUUUUUUUUGCGUUCAUAGAGUCCAUUUAGGGUCUUAUGAUCUUUCAAUUUUCGCUAUUUUCAUUGGAUUCCAGGUCCAUUUCAGGCGAAACCUUUGGGAUAUUUGCUCUUAAUAGGUCUGACCUUUUUUGCUUAUGGCCUUUUUUGGAUCUUUAACCGUUGAUUUCAUCAGUCAUCUCUUUAUUUCUCCAUAAGUAUUUUGUCUAUUUUAUUAGUUUGUUAUUUAUAUAUUAUAAUAUAUUUUUUUUAUGAAAUAGCUUGUACAGAUUCUUGUUCGCUCUUUUUCGGUAUUUUCUAUUAAAAUAAUGGGUUGAAAUUCAAUAUUUUCAUUUUAAAACUACAAAUUAUUUGGUUUAAAAAUGAUGAAGAAAAAAACUAAUAUAAAUAUAAAUAAAGGCCUUAAUAUUACCUAUUCAUCACCUUAACGAUAAGUACGCAAUAUUAUUCAUUAAACUGCAUUAAAAUGUAUAUUAUGACACUUAUAUUAUUCUUAUGUGUAUUGUUAGAAAAAUAAAUAUUGAUAUAGAAAAAAUAUAUUCUUAGCAAUUAGUCUUAAUGAUUACUCUUUACUAAUAGGCAGAUAUAAUAAAGGGAUAAUUCAAUUAUCAGUGGCAUCCAAACUAUAGUUACAGUGUAUCUUUUGCUAAACAUUAUAUUGUCGGUGAAUAGGUAACCCUAGUAAUCGAGAUUCGGGAGCGUUAGGAAAAAGUGUUUUAAUGAAAAACUUUUAAAAAGAUUGGUUUUAAGAUCUUAAAUCUAUACAAAAUGUUUUAUUAGUAAAUAAUAGUUCUUUGUUUUGGAAUUUUGCUACGCCAUAAAAUUAUAGUUUAAGUGCCACUGAUAAAGAUUAUGAACGCCUAUAUUAUAAAUACCUUUGUACACAAAUUACUACCAUUGCUACUUGUCGAAAUUCAAUAUUUCNAUUAGCUAAAAGCACUAAUAAUUAUUAUUUACUAGAUUUACUUUUUUGGUUUUUUUAUUUUUUAUUUUUUUUUUUGCGUUCAUAGAGUCCAUUUAGGGUCUUAUGAUCUUUCGCUAUUUUCAUUGGAUUCCAGGUCCAUUUCAGGCGAAACCUUUGGGAUAUUUGCUCUUAAUAGGUCUGACCUUUUUUGCUUAUGGCCUUUUUUGGAUCUUUAACCGUUGAUUUCAUCAGUCAUCUCUUUAUUUCUCCAUAAGUAUUUUGUCUAUUUUAUUAGUUUGUUAUUUAUAUAUUAUAAUAUAUUUUUUUUAUGAAAUAGCUUGUACAGAUUCUUGUUCGCUCUUUUUCGGUAUUUUCUAUUAAAAUAAUGGGUUGAAAUUCAAUAUUUUCAUUUUAAAACUACAAAUUAUUUGGUUUAAAAAUGAUGAAGAAAAAAACUAAUAAAAAUAUAAAUAAAGGCCUUAAUAUUACCUAUUCAUCAUCUUAACGAUAAGUACGUAAUAUUAUUCAUUAAACUGCGUUAAAAUUUAUAUUAUGACACUUAUAUUAUUCUUAUGUGUAUUGUUAGAAAAAUAAAUAUCCAUAUGGAAAAAAUAUAUUCUUAGCAAUUAGUCUUAAUGAUUACUCUUUACUAAUAGGCAGAUAUAAUAAAGGGAUAAUUCAAUUAUCAGUGGCACCCAAACUAUAGUUACAGUGUAUCUUUUGCUAAACAUUAUAUUGUCGGUGAAUAGGUAACCCUAGUAAUCGAGAUUUGGGAGCGUUAGGAAAAAGUGUUUUUAAGAAAAACUUUUAAAAAGAUUGGUUUUAAGAUCUUAAAUCUAUAUAAAAUGUAAUUGUGGUAAGUGGUAGUUUUAUAUUAAGAAAUUUGCUACGCCAUAAAAUUAUAGUUUGGGUGCCACUGAUAAAGAUUAUGAACGCCUAAAUUUUAAAAACCUUCUACGUAUUUCACAAAACAUUACAAAAUUAUGUAUCGAAAUUCAAUAUUUCAAUUCGAAAACGACCCUUAAAUUUAAUUUAAAGUUAAUUAACAAAUAAAACAAUGUAUAUGUCAAAAAGACUUAAUAUUAAAUAAUUAUCAUCUUAAAGAUAAUUAUGAUUAAAUAUUCAUUUAACCUUAAUACCAAUUAGUAAUGUUACAUUAUUAUUAGCUAAAAGCACUAAUAAUUAUUAUUUACUAGAUUUACUUUUUUGGUUUUUUUAUUUUUUAUUUUUUUUUUUGCGUUCAUAGAGUCCAUUUAGGGUCUUAUGAUCUUUCGCUAUUUUCAUUGGAUUCCAGGUCCAUUUCAGGCGUAACCUUUGGAAUAUUUGCUCUUAAUAGGUCUAACCUUUUUUGCUUAUGGCCUUUUUUGGAUCUUUAACCGUUGAUUUCAUCAGUCAUCUCUUUAAUUCUCCAUAAGUAUUCUGUCUAUUUUAUUAGUUNAAAUAUCCAUAUAGAAAAAAUAUAUUCUUAGCAAUUAGUCUUAAUGAUUACUCUUUACUAAUAGGCAGAUAUAAUAAAGGGAUAAAUCAAUUAUCAGUGGCACCCAAACUAUAGUUACAGUGUAUCUUUUGCUAAACAUUAUAUUGUCGGUGAAUGGGUAACCCUAGUAAUUGAGAUUUGGGAGCGUGAGAAAAAAGUGUUUUAAAGAAAAACUUUUAAAAAGAUUGGUUUUAAGAUCUUAAAUCUAUAUAAAUUGUUAAUGUUUCGGGUUGUGGGUUUGUAUUUCAAAUUCUGUUACACCAUGAAGAAUAGUUUUGGCGCCACUGAUAAGGAAUAUGACUGCGUAUUUUAUACCUGCCACCUAUGUUGUGCUACGAAUAGAUCUCAUAAUUAUCGGUCGAAAUUCAAUAUUUU
rnacentral:lncRNA from 1 species